rnacentral:lncRNA from 1 species
UCUUUCUUUCAAGGGAAUGGAUUAGUUUCCACAAGAGCAGGUUGUUAAAAAGAGUUUGCUUCAUCUGUUUCUCUCUCUUGCUUUCUCUCUUGUCUUGCAAUCUCUGCACAUGCCUGCCCCUCUUCCAUUAUCUUCCAUGAGUGGAAUCAGCCUGAGGACCUCAACAGAUGCACCUGCCCAAUCUUAAACUUUCCAGCAAUCUGAAUUGAACUUUUCAGUGUAUGUGGAGGAUCUUCAUAUUUUCUUAUGCAACACAAGCCAAGUCUCCACGAUGUGCAUGAAAAAUUAUAAUAUAUCUCUAUUGUUGUUUUUUUUUGUGUUUAACUCAGUGAGCUAUAUAAAUUUUUUUCAUUUGAAGAUAAUAUUCUAUUUUUUUAAGCUGAAGAAACUUCAAACUACAACUUGUGAAAUGUUAUUACUUCAGUGAAACUCAUUUAUUCUUAUUAUUCCA